rnacentral:tRNA from 1 species
UUUUGUUUAGUAUAUAGAGUACAGAGAAUUUUGAGUUCUAAAGUUAUAUUUAUUUUAAUAACAA